AAACGAGGUUUGUUACUUUGG
rnacentral:miRNA from 1 species